GUGGAUAAUCUACCUUUGGAUCUGGGAUAACAUUGCGAAAGCGGUGCUAAUACCGGAUAAGAUCGUAAUAUUUGCGGAUAUAACGAUGAAAGACUGCCUAUCCUUGGAAGCAGUUGUCUGGAGAUGAGUCCGCGUACCAUUAGCUUGUUGGUGGGGUAAAAGCCUACCAAGGCGACGAUGGUUAGCUGGUCUGAGAUGAUGAUCAGCCACACUGGAACUGACACACGGUCCAGACUCCUACGGGAGGCAGCAGUGAGGAAUUUUGCGCAAUGGGGUAACCCCUGACGCAGCAACGCCGCGUGAGUGAUGAAGGCUUUUGGGUCGUAAAGCUCUGUCAAUGGGAAAGAAAUUAUAAAUGGUUAAUAGCCAUAUAUAUUGACGGUACCUAUGAAGGAAGCACCGGCUAACUCCGUGCCAGCAGCCGCGGUAAUACGGGGGGUGCAAGCGUUAUUCGGAAUUAUUGGGCGUAAAGGGCGCGUAGGCGGUAUUAUAGGUCAGAUGUGAAAGUUCAGGGCUCAACUCUGAAAGAGCAUUUGAAACCCUAAUACUUGAGUAUGGGAGAGGGAAGUGGAAUUCCAGGUGUAGAGGUGAAAUUCGUAGAUAUCUGGAGGAACACCGGUGGCGAAGGCGACUUCCUGGACCAAUACUGACGCUGAGGCGCGAAGGCGUGGGUAGCGAACAGGAUUAGAUACCCUGGUAGUCCACGCAGUAAACGUUGAACACUAGGUGUAGCGGGUAUUGACCCCUGCUGUGCCGCAGCUAACGCAUUAAGUGUUCCGCCUGGGGAGUACGAUCGCAAGAUUAAAACUCAAAGGAAUUGACGGGGGCCCGCACAAGCGGUGGAGCAUGUGGUUUAAUUCGACGCAACGCGAAGAACCUUACCUGGAUUUGACAUCCUGGGAAUACCUUAGAAAUUUGGUAGUGCCUUUCGGGGAGCCCAGAGACAGGUGCUGCAUGGCUGUCGUCAGCUCGUGUCGUGAGAUGUUGGGUUAAGUCCCGCAACGAGCGCAACCCUUAUCUUUAGUUACCAUCAUUUAGUUGGGGACUCUAGAGAUACUGCCCCGGUUAACGGGGAGGAAGGUGGGGAUGACGUCAAGUCCUCAUGGCCUUUAUAUCCAGGGCUACACACGUGCUACAAUGGUAUGUACAAAGAGUUGCUAAGCCGCGAGGCCAAGCUAAUCUCAUAAAGCAUAUCUUAGUUCGGAUUGGAGUCUGCGACUCGACUCCAUGAAGUUGGAAUCGCUAGUAAUCGUAGAUCAGCAUGCUACGGUGAAUACGUUCCCGGGCCUUGUACACACCGCCCGACACACCAUGAGAGUUGACUGUACCAGAAGUUGUUGAGGUAACUUUCGGGAGCCAGGCACCUAAGGUAUGGUUGAUAAUUGGGGUGAAGUCGUAACAAGGUA
rnacentral:rRNA from 1 species